AGUUAAUAUUCCUUCGGAAUAGAGCAACAAAGAAUGAGCGAGCGAGAUGUCACUAUCUGCAACCCUGUGUGACAAAAAGAGAUGUGUGAUGCUAUCAUCGUCACGUCAAUAGAACCAUUUUUGCAAAAGAUUUGACAGGCAGUGACACAUAGAGGCACAAAGCAGAAUUUCAAAUCACAGUUUUUUCUAAAAAUUUCGUAAAAUCCUGUAUAGUUUUGGAAUUUUUUUAUUGUAAUACAAUGGUGACCUGUUCCGUCCUUGAUUGUGAUGUAAACCAGAGAAAUAAUCCCGCAAAAUAUUAAUUUCACAGAUUUCCGACUAACGAAGAUGUAAGAAAAACAUGGCUCAAAUUAAUUAAUCGUCCAAAUUGGAUUCCAACUAAAUAUGCCACUUUAUGUAGCAAACAUUUUGAUAGUAAAUGUUUUCGAAAAAUUGGAGCCAGAAUCACGUUGAAAAAAUGUGCAAUCCCUACAGAGUUUGUUCCGAUGAAAGUAAAGCCUACACGCACAAUGUCGUCGUACGUGAACAGAGAUAUUUUACCAGAGGGAUCUACAUUAUCGUCUAGAUCUCCGCCGCCGACACCACAGCUUCAGAAUGUAUGGAUGUCUUGAUGUUUGUUGCUCUUUCAAUUAAAUCAGUUAAAUCAUUUUAAUCUUCUGAGUUUUAUUUUUAUUUUCCACUCUCCCAUAUACGGAUUGUAUAUGGACAUUCUAUCCUAUUUUAGUUCCAUUAAUAUUACUACUGUUAGGUGUUAAUUAAUAUAAAUCGAUAUCGAUAUUCAUG